GAAUUGCNUUUNAANCUGUCCAGCUAGAGUCUNGUAGANGGGGGUNGANUUCCANGUGUAGCGGUGAAAUGUGUAGNNNNNNGGAGGAAUACCGGUGGCGAAGGCGGCCCCCUGGACAAAGACUGACGCUCAGGUGCGAAAGCGUGGGGAGCAAACAGGAUUAGAUACCCUGGUAGUCCACGCCGUAAACGAUGUCGAUUUGGAGGCUGUGUCCUUGAGACGUGGCUUCCGGAGCUAACGCGUUAAAUCGACCGCCUGGGGAGUACGGCCGCAAGGUUAAAACUCAAAUGAAUUGACGGGGGCCCGCACAAGCGGUGGAGCAUGUGGUUUAAUUNGAUGCAACGCGAAGAACCUUACCUGGCCUUGACAUGUCUGGANNCCUGCAGAGAUGCGGGAGUGCCUUCGGGAAUCAGAACACAGGUGCUGCAUG
rnacentral:rRNA from 1 species